CAUUAAAUCAGUCGUGGUCCAAAUGGGCCAGUGCAAAUCCUACUUGGAUAACUGUGGUAAUUCCAGAGCUAAUACAUGCAACUGAUAUCCCGAAGGCGUGGCUGUGCUUGCUUGUCUUGCGCUUUCAUUGCUCUGACGGAUGCUUUUAUUAGACCAAGCCGCUGAGGACUUGGGGGUUCGCUCUCUUGUUCGACUCGUGUGAUGGUGACUCUGGAUAACCAAUUCUGACAAGCGCACGUACUUCUCUUCUGAGCGAGACGGCGCUGCCACUUUCGAGUGUCUGCCUUAUCAGCUAUCAACCGUUCGUUAUGCGCGACCGAUGGCUUUGACGGGUAACGGGGAAUCAGGGUUCGAUUCCGGAGAGGCAGCCUGAGAGACGGCUACCACGUCCAAGGACGGCAGCAGGCACGCAAAUUACCCAAUCCCAGCAAAUGGGGGAGGUAGUGACGAAAUCUAACGAUGCGGGCGCCCUUUCUGGGGCCCCGCAAUCGGAAUGGGCACUUUCUAAACAACCUGUUGAGAACCUACUGAAGGGCAAGUCUGGUGCCAGCAGCCGCGGUAAUUCCAGCUUCAGCAGCAUCUAUUAAAGUUGCUGCGGUUAAAAGGCUCGCAGUUGAAUGUCUGUAUCGAGCGCAGGUCAGGUGGACGUU
rnacentral:rRNA from 1 species